rnacentral:rRNA from 1 species
GACGAACGCUGGCGGCGUGCUUAACACAUGCAAGUCGAACGGAAAGGCCCUGCUUUUGUGGGGUGCUCGAUUGGCGAACGGGUGAGUAACACGUGAGUAACCUGCCCUUUACUUUGUGAUAACUUCAGGAAACUGGUGCUAAUACCGGAUAGGAUCUCCUGCUGCAUGUUGGGGGUUGGAAAGUUUCGGCGGUUGGUGAUGUACUCGCGGCUUAUCAGCUUGUUGGUGGGGUAGUGGCUUACCAAGGCUUUGACGGGUAGCCGGCCUGAGAGGGUGACCGGACAAAUUGGGACUGAGAUAAGGCGCAGACUGCAACGGGAGGCAGCAGUGGGGAAUAUUGCACAAUGGGCGGAAGCCUGAUGCAGCAACGCCGCGUGCGGGAUGAAGGCCUUCGGGUUGUAAACAGAUUUCGCCUGUGACGAAGCGUGAGUGACGGUAAUGGGUAAAGAAGCACCGGCUAACUACGUG